GUGCCAGCAGCCGCGGUACUACGAGAGGUCCAAACGUUAUUCGGACUUACUGGGCUUAAAGAGUUCGUAGGCGGCUAAGUAAGUGGGGUGUGAAAUCCCUCGGCUCAACCGAGGAACUGCGCUCCAAACUACUUAGCUAGAGGAAGAUAGAGGUAAGCGGAACAGAUGGUGGAGCGGUGAAAUGCGUUGAUAUCAUCUGGAACACCGGAGGCGAAGGCGGCUUACUGUGUCUUUUCUGACGCUGAGGAACGAAAGCUAGGGGAGCAAACGGGAUUAGAUACCCCGGUAGUCCUAGCCGUAAACGAUGAGCACUGGACCGGAGCUCUGCACAGGGUUUCGGUCGUAGCGAAAGUGUUAAGUGCUCCGCCUGGGGAGUAUGGUCGCAAGGCUGAA
rnacentral:rRNA from 1 species